GGUGAGGUGCUGGGAGUACCGUCAGCUCCCAUCCAUAGUGCGUGUCACUAGACCUACUCGUCCUGACAAGGCACGCCGCCUCGGCUACAAGGCCAAGCAGGUACUUUUUCUUUUCGUUCUGAUAUUUGACGGUGUUGAGUUAAGCUUAAAUGUACAUGUGUCGUGACGAUUCUUGUAGUCAAUCCCUACUUGCUUGUAUUUGAGGCAUAGUUGCUGUUUGUGAUAUUUUUGACAAUGUCACUUGCUGAGAGGUUUCAGUCGUACAUAUUUUGCAAAUGUUUACCUAUACUCAUAUAUAGGGUGUACUAAGUUCUCUGAAUCCACAAUUGUUUGUUCUUGGAUGUACUAAGGUGAAAAUGAACUUGGUCUGUUUAAAACCUGAGUUUAAGUGUUCAAUUGAGAUUGUACUUUUGAUUUAGUUCUAUUGCCUUUGACGGCAUGUAUUGAAUUCAUGCGAUUCUAUUUCAAUUAAAUAUACUUGAUUAAAUAAAUAGGCCCCUUUCUCGGUUUAGCCAUAAUUGUCGUGUCUCUUCUUAUUGCCUCUGUAAAUAAUUGUGGGGCACAUCAUCUGUUAUUUCUGAUAAAAGGUUGCUUCUAUGAGAGUGUAAUGUCCCCUCUUUCCAUUCAUUGUCAUCUGAAAGUUCUUGAUGCCUGGGAUUCAAGCAAGUUACAAUUUGUUUCUUGUAGUACAUGCAAUUGUUGUAUGACUUCUCAAAGUUAGAAUAAAUAACAGUAUUUUGUCAGUUUUCCAUUUCCAUAGUAGAAAGGGUGCCUUUGUCGUCUACUUUUGGAUUUAUAUUCGUGUGACUGUGUUCAAUAAUAUCUGCAGGGCUAUGUGGUUUACCGUGUGCGUGUGAAGCGUGGUGGAAGAAAGAGGCCUGUACCCAAAGGUAUUGUGUAUGGUAAGCCAACCAACCAGGGAGUCACCCAGUUGAAGUUUCAGC
rnacentral:lncRNA from 1 species